GCCGAAAUAGCUCAGUUGGAAGAGCGUUAGACUGAAGAUCUAAAGGUCGCUAGUGACUUUCGGCA
rnacentral:tRNA from 1 species